GAUGAACGCUGGCGGCGUGCCUAAUACAUGCAAGUCGAGCGAACGGACGAGAAGCUUGCUUCUCUGAUGUUAGCGGCGGACGGGUGAGUAACACGUGGAUAACCUACCUAUAAGACUGGGAUAACUUCGGGAAACCGGAGCUAAUACCGGAUAAUAUUUUGAGCCGCAUGGUUCAAAAGUGAAAGACGGUCUUGCUGUCACUUAUAGAUGGAUCCGCGCUGCAUUAGCUAGUUGGUAAGGUAACGGCUUACCAAGGCAACGAUGCAUAGCCGACCUGAGAGGGUGAUCGGCCACACUGGAACUGAGACACGGUCCAGACUCCUACGGGAGGCAGCAGUAGGGAAUCUUCCGCAAUGGGCGAAAGCCUGACGGAGCAACGCCGCGUGAGUGAUGAAGGUCUUCGGAUCGUAAAACUCUGUUAUUAGGGAAGAACAUAUGUGUAAGUAACUGUGCACAUCUUGACGGUACCUAAUCAGAAAGCCACGGCUAACUACGUGCCAGCAGCCGCGGUAAUACGUAGGUGGCAAGCGUUAUCCGGAAUUAUUGGGCGUAAAGCGCGCGUAGGCGGUUUUUUAAGUCUGAUGUGAAAGCCCACGGCUCAACCGUGGAGGGUCAUUGGAAACUGGAAAACUUGAGUGCAGAAGAGGAAAGUGGAAUUCCAUGUGUAGCGGUGAAAUGCGCAGAGAUAUGGAGGAACACCAGUGGCGAAGGCGACUUUCUGGUCUGUAACUGACGCUGAUGUGCGAAAGCGUGGGGAUCAAACAGGAUUAGAUACCCUGGUAGUCCACGCCGUAAACGAUGAGUGCUAAGUGUUAGGGGGUUUCCGCCCCUUAGUGCUGCAGCUAACGCAUUAAGCACUCCGCCUGGGGAGUACGACCGCAAGGUUGAAACUCAAAGGAAUUGACGAGGACCCGCACAAGCGGUGGAGCAUGUGGUUUAAUUCGAAGCAACGCGAAGAACCUUACCAAAUCUUGACAUCCUUUGACAACUCUAGAGAUAGAGCCUUCCCCUUCGGGGGACAAAGUGACUGGUGGUGCAUGGUUGUCGUCAGCUCGUGUCGUGAGAUGUUGGGUUAAGUCCCGCAACGAGCGCAACCCUUAAGCUUAGUUGCCAUCAUUAAGUUGGGCACUCUAAGUUGACUGCCGGUGACAAACCGGAGGAAGGUGGGGAUGACGUCAAAUCAUCAUGCCCCUUAUGAUUUGGGCUACACACGUGCUACAAUGGACAAUACAAAGGGCAGCGAAACCGCGAGGUCAAGCAAAUCCCAUAAAGUUGUUCUCAGUUCGGAUUGUAGUCUGCAACUCGACUACAUGAAGCUGGAAUCGCUAGUAAUCGUAGAUCAGCAUGCUACGGUGAAUACGUUCCCGGGUCU
rnacentral:rRNA from 1 species